rnacentral:rRNA from 1 species
AUUGAACGCUGGCGGCAGGCCUAACACAUGCAAGUCGAGCGAGCGGCGGACGGGUGAGUAAUGUCUUGGAAACUGCCUGAUGGAGGGGGAUAACUACUGGAAACGUUGGAUAAUACUGCAACCCGCCAUUUGUGCCAAGAUGGGAUUAGCUAGUAGGUGGGGUAAUGGCUCACCUAGCCGAAGAUGCCUAGCUGGUCUGAGAUGAUGACCAGCCACACUGGAACUGAGACACGGUCCAGACUCCUACGGGAGGCAGCAGUGGGGAAUAUUGCACAAUGGGCGCAAGCCUGAUGCAGCCAUGCCGCGUGUAUGAAGAAGGCCUUCGGGUUGUAAAGUACUUUCAUCGGGGAGGCGUUACCCGCAGAGGAAGCACCGGCGAACGCAGUGCCAGCCGCCGCGGUAAUAC